CUGACACAGGGAGGUAGUAACAAUAAAUAACAAUGCCGGGCCUUUCUAGGUCUGGCUUUUGGAAUGAGAACAAUUUAAAUCCAUUAUCGAGGAUCAAUUGGAGGGCAAGUCUGGUGCCAGCAGCCGCGGUAAUUCCAGCUCCAAUAGCGUAUAUUAAAGUUGUUGCAGUUAAAAAGCUCGUAGUUGAAUUUCUGGCUGGAAGGGAGCGGUCCCGCAUCUUUGCGGGUACUUGCUCGUCUUCUGCCAUCCUUGGGCUUAGUCUCGCUGAUAUUAACUUAUCGGCGUGUACGAUGCCCAUCGUUUACUGUGAGCAAAUUAGAGUGUUCAAAGCAGGCUUAUGCCGUUGAAUAUAUUAGCAUGGAAUAAUAAGAUAGGACCUAGUGACUAUUUUGUUGGUUUGCGUUAUUAGGUAAUGAUUAAGAGGGACAGUUGUGGGUAUUCGUAUUCAGGUGUAAGAGGUGAAAUUCUUAGAUUAUCGGAAGACGAACGACUGCGAAAGCAUUUACCAAGGAUGUUUUCAUUAAUCAAGAACGAAAGUAUGGGGAUCGAAGAUGAUUAGAUACCAUCGUAGUCUAUACCAUAAACUAUGCCGACUCAGGAUCCGCGGGUGCAUUCUUGCCUCGUGGGCACUGUAUGAGAAAUCAAAGUCUUUGGGUUCCA
rnacentral:rRNA from 1 species